CGUACUGAUGCCAUGACGAUUACCAAUAAAGGUUUGAAGAACAGACUGCAAAGCAUCAUGAAGAGGAUUGAGAGAAUAGAGGAAUUGGCACCAGAAAUAAAAAUGAGACGGCAAGACAAGCUAAAUGAGGAAAUAGAGUUGCUGAAUCAGAAACUGCGAUUUUUAAAUC